UACGUAGGGGGCAAGCGUUGUCCGGAAUCAUUGGGCGUAAAGAGCGUGUAGGCGGCCAGAUAAGUCCGCUGUGAAAUCUCGAGGCUCAACUUCGAGCUGUCGGUGGAAACUGUCUGGCUAGAGUGCGGAAGAGGCGAGUGGAAUUCCUGGUGUAGCGGUGAAAUGCGCAGAUAUCAGGAGGAACACCGAUUGCGAAGGCAGCUCGCUGGGACGUAACUGACGCUGAGACGCGAAAGCGUGGGGAGCAAACAGG
rnacentral:rRNA from 1 species